GACGAACGCUGGCGGCGUGCCUAAUACAUGCAGGUCGAGCGAAGUUUUUCUGGUGCUUGCACUAGAAAAACUUAGCGGCGAACGGGUGAGUAACACGUAAAGAACCUGCCUCAUAGACUGGGACAACUAUUGGAAACGAUAGCUAAUACCGGAUAACAGUAUUUCUCGCAUGAGAGAUAUUUAAAAGUUGGUUAUGCUAACACUAUGAGAUGGCUUUGCGGUGCAUUAGCUAGUUGGUGGGGUAAAGGCCCACCAAGGCGACGAUGCAUAGCCGACCUGAGAGGGUGAUCGGCCACACUGGGACUGAGACACGGCCCAGACUCCUACGGGAGGCAGCAGUAGGGAAUCUUCCGCAAUGGGCGAAAGCCUGACGGAGCAACGCCGCGUGAGUGAAGAAGGAGUUCGGUUCGUAAAGCUCUGUUGUUAGGGAAGAAUGGAUAUGUAGUAACUAUACAUGUAAGAGACGGUACCUAACCAGAAAGCCACGGCUAACUACGUG
rnacentral:rRNA from 1 species